CCGUAGCCCAAGAGAUCGGGAUAACACCUGGAAACAGAUGCUAAUACCGGAUAACAACAGAUGAUGCCUAUCAACUGUUUAAAAGGAUGGUUCUGCUAUCACUCUUGGAUGGACCUGCGGUGCAUUAGCUAGUUGGUAGGGUAACGGCCUACCAAGGCGAUGAUGCAUAGCCGAGUUGAGAGACUGAUCGGCCACAUUGGGACUGAGACACGGCCCAAACUCCUACGGGAGGCAGCAGGC
rnacentral:rRNA from 1 species